rnacentral:tRNA from 2 species
GGAGAUGUAGCUCAGUGGUAGAGCCUUCACCUAACAUGUGCAAGGUCCUGGGUUCAAUCCUCAGUACCACUA